rnacentral:hammerhead_ribozyme from 1 species
AUUCAGCUGACGAGUCCCAAAUGGGAUGAAACGCGCAUCAUAGAU